rnacentral:lncRNA from 1 species
AUGUUCUCAUUUAUUCCUGUAGAGAGUGAGAAUGAUGUAGGGCCCUUCACCCAUAUCCCAGACCAUGGAGCACCAGGAGACAUGACAUCAGUGAACAGUGAAUCUACUGUUGGUGCCAUGGUAUUCUCUACUGAGACUUCAGGGUCACUGAAGAAAGUGAGUGGAUCUGACCAGGGAAGAGAACCAACAGACUCCACCAGUAUCCCAAUGACUGGCUUCACUGGAAGAGAUUCCAUUACAGACACUGAAACAGACAUACGUGCCAUGGAGACAACUCCAAGAGCCACAGUCACUCAAGCCCCACUUCUCACUGCGCCCACUGAAGCAGGUGACCCCAUCCCUGGGAUGCACAAGAGAACUGUGUCCUCUCAUACUUCACCCUUAGCUCCAAGUGAGAUAUCCUCUGGAGUCACCAUGGCCAUUGCGAGGCCCUCACUCUACAUGACUCCAGUAGAACCCACAGCUAGCCCUGGCUCCAGUAGUCCCUUAAACAUCAGCCUAUCUGGGACAAUGUUUUCUACACCCCUUGCAGACACACCUAUAGCUGAAAUAACUCUUGGAGAGAGUUCCAGCACCCCCCCCCCUUCUCUAUGGUCCACUCCAGUUGAUUCUUUCAAUAUUGCUGUCUCGGUCCCAGGAAAUGAAAUCACCUCCAUUGUGCCUCUAUAUUCACUUCCAACAGCCUCAAGUGCCACAGAAACCACACCAAAUCCUGAUUUGUCAAUGAGACCUACCACACUAGAGCCAGGCUUAGCUGCCCUAACUUCCACUGCUCCCAGCAUCUUUCCAACACCGUCUGGAGAAGACACAAACACCUCAUUGGUGUCUAUAGAAGGACCAACUGAAGAUAAAACAGUGUCCAGCACCUUCCCAGCAAAUGCAGACACCCCUGGUAUCACUCACAGGGAGCACUUCUUCACAGGUCCUGGAAUAACUUUUCAACCUGACAUGGCCUCUACUUCUCUGCCCAAUUUAAGUGAAGGGACCAGUUACUCCAAAACUGUCCCCUCACCCCCUUUAGAGAGUAGGAAAAGCACUGCCAUGGUUGGAGUCCAGAUAAGCCUAGCUGAACUUCUCACUCCAGAGUCCAAGAAGCCCACCCCUGCUGAGGGUUCACUCUCUGUUGGACCAGUGACUGAAUUUAGCAGCAGGGAAAGUGUACAUUUACAGAAUAGCUUGGCCCCCAGCAUCACCCCAGAAUGGGAGACCAGUAGACCAGGCAGGACUACAGAGUCAGAUAUCAGCACACUCAUCCCUGGCAAUUUUCAUCCUUCUGAGGGCACUGCUGACCUCAUAUCAAGCCCAGUGGAAGACUCCAGCCCAAAGCCAGCUGUCUAUACCUCUCCACCCCACACCUCAGGUACUACAGGGACCAGGAUUAGAGACGAGACAGACUCAUCCUUGGUGUUGACUACACCAGCACCUGCUGUCGCUAUCAGCAGCAUCUCUGGGGCUCUCCUUGGUACAAGAACAGUGGUUCCAUGGUCUUUGAAUUCAGCUGAAGCUACAGAUCUUACCAUGAAUCGCCUUGAUCCUAUAUCCAUGUUGCCAUCCAAAUUCUCCACUUCUUCUCCUGUAACAUUUUCAGGGGUUACUUACAAGACUGAAAACAAGAGCUCCAAUGUUCCUGGGACUGACAGCAUAAGUAUCAUCUUCAGCAGCAAGGUCACAGACAGGGUCUCUCUCCAUCCUGAGAUCAUUCCUAACCAAAAUCUACUGGGCACAAUGGAAGAGAGCACAGGUGCUUUGCUGACCCCUUCUUUGCCUGGACCUCCUGGGUCUUCAGCUGCUACUAUGGGAGGUGUAUCAAACAUGUCAGGUACCAAUACUGGCUCAACUCCACAGGUGACUUUAGCUUAUGAAAUCUUAACUAGAGACUUAGAGAAGACCUCAGACUUCCCACUGGCCACAGAAAUUACAGCUAAGACUGUCCCAGCCAAGAUGAUGGGUGACAUCUCCUUUGCUUUCACAAACCAUAUCCCAGAAGGUCAAGUGAGCUCAGCAUUUCUUCUUACCACCAUCAGCAGCCCCAUGGCUCUCCCUGGAGAAAACAUAGUUCCUCUUUCGUCAACCAUAGCUGAAGCUGAGGAUGUCACUAUCACUGGGACAGAUAGCACUCCUACAUGGCAAAGCACACACUCUUCUUCAACUACUAUAACAUCAUCUAAGGAUACCCCCAUGACCAAGAACACGAGAUCAGCUUCCCCCAGGACUGACUCCAUGCAUCUAAUUUCCAGCACAAAGAUCACAGACAUUGUUCCCUUUUCCCCUGUGGUCACUCUUAGCCAUAAGUUUCCACGAUCAGUGGUAAAGAGUAACACAGAUGCCCCAUUGACCACUCCUAAAUCUCCAGUGGUCUCAGACACUCAUCCUGGAGGCUCAUUGGUCACCUCUGCUGACUCAGCUGUCCUGGGGACGACAGCUCAUGGUGAGCCACAUGAUAUCUUAGAAAAAGGCUCAACACUUUCCCUGACCACUUUAACCACAGAGAUCACAAAAAGUACUAUUCCAUUUCCUACAAAUCUAGAAGAAAUUCUAAAAUGUUCUAAGACUAUGACUCCCAGAAACACAGGCCCUUCCUCCCUGUGGCUAACAGUGACCACAGUGAGUCCUUUUCAUAUUGAAUUGGGUUUAGGUCUAGAUACUAUUUCCCAGACUGAGCUGUCUGAAAUUCAAGGUCCACUAAUCAUCACUGAAUUAUCCCAGAAGAGUGAUGCAGGAUUCCCAUUGUCUUCUUCUGCAACUGAGGCAACUAGAGCAAGGGCCAUAACAUCUUCCACUCUCAUCUCAGGAUUGGGGGAGAGCCAGUCUUCCAUAGGCAGCAUUUCAGGAACAGAGGCCAUCAGAGACUCUCCCACCUUGUUCUCUCCUUUAGAAAGCACCAGGACACAUGCCACCAGACCUGAGUAUGCAUUGCGCACUGAACAAGCACUGUCCACUCUGCCAACAAAGAAAUUACUUAAAAUGGUCACCAGCUCACUUACUUUUGUUUCCAAAAUGCAUUCUAAAGUCACUGCUUUGGCACCAAGGACAAAUGCCCAAGGGUUUGAAAGUCACAGCAUGUCUACCCUGGAGGCCAAUGAUGCCCUAGCAGUAGGCACUGGCCCUGCUAUGACCUUUAACUCUCCACUACCAAGCAUCACUGCUUCUAGCAGCAUGGAUGUAGAUGUGGAAACUGUGUCAACAUUAGCUCCCUGGACAGCCAGAUCCUCAUCACAAGUAGAAGCCAGUUCUCCCAAUCUGGUUGUCACCACAGGAGAUGGACCCUCCCUGGGAACAGAACCUCACAAUCCCAUCCACGAAUCUCUGAGCCCAGGACCAGGAUCCUUUCCUGCCUUAAGUACUCCCACAGCCUGCACAAGAACAGCUUCCCUUGAGGCUGCUACUUUAUUGGAGGACCCAGAGCCAGCCGGCCUGAAUCCAGAGACUGAGAGAAACCCACAGGCAACACCAACUCCAGCUAUCACCCUGUCUCCAGCCAGCACACUGGAAGUUUGCACAACAGCAUCUCCCAGUCCUCCUGACACAACCACAGAGGGCAGCAGUGUCCAGGCAGGCACAGCCUAUGUUUCUGAUCAAGUGCCUUCCACUUCCUGCCUCUUCCCCAGUAAGCAUAUUUUAAAUAAGCUUCCCAGGGAGGGAAUUGGGGUGUGGCCUUGGAAGAAAUGGGGAGUGUCUGUCCAAGGAGCGUCAGUUUGUGUCUUUCUAAGGAGAAGGGUCUUCCUCCCAGGUCCUUCCUCUCUAUAGCCUUCCAAUGGGCCACUGUAGGAAUUUUCCUUAGUGCCAUAUCUGUUGAAUUAGUGUCAUCUCUCCAGACUUCCUCAUCUCCAUGCAAAGGAUAGUUUCACAGUCCCUGUGCUUAAGUGAUUCUCCUCUUCUUAUUGAUGGGAUUCUGAUUCUACUAAAUCAAACAUAUAUGGAGGUUGUCCAUCAGUGAGUCCAUGCUUUGAAGGGGAAAAGUUGGUUAGUUAUCCUGUGGAGAAAAGUCAGAGAAGCCAUGUAUUUUUGGUCUCAGCAGAUAGUAGCAACAAUGUACUUUCCUUUGGGAGUCCUCUAAUAAUGACUUGACUGAGCUCUGGGUUCUCCCCUCCUGUCUUCCUGUGGGUGGUGAUGCUGGUGUGGUGCCAGUCACACAUGCCCAAGGCCAUGGAGCCAGGAAGCACAGUAGCACCAAUAAGGAGCCCCCUGACCCCUGUGUCUACUAUUAUGCCCACAGGUAAGUAGGUACCUCCUCUCUGUCUCUGUGUUGGAGGUUUACCCUUUUUAGGGCCUUGUUUCCCCGUCUUACAGAGGAAACAUGAAAUUAUUUUAGAGAUCAAUCCUCAAGAACUCUUCUGAACCUCUGAUUGCUUUCUAUGUACAGCCUGGAGACGAGGAGUUUUAGAGGUAGGAAUGAGGUUCCCACUGCUAAGGUCUUUUAUACAAUCAAUAAUAGGCACAAAGGUGUAAGGAAACUUUGAAGUGUCAGGUAUUAUGGAUAGCCUCUCUUAUUACAGAUGUGGAUACUGAGGUUUAGAGAAGUAAAGUAGUAAUUAGCUCAGGGUAAUUGGAUAUGACAGGAAGGGAUCCUCAAUGGUCACCUAACUGAACCCCAUCAUUUUACAUAUGGGAAAACUUAGGCCCAGAGAAGUUAAGUGGCAUAUGCCCAAUGCACAAAAUUAGAAAGCAUCAGAUGUGGGAUUUGAACCCAGGACCUCUGAUUCUAGAGUCAUUGUUCUUUCCACUCUAUUAUGCUGUAUGUUCAAUGGCCAAUAGAGAGUUCAGACUUAGCACCUCACAUUAAAUGGCUACGGCUCUUUCCACUUUGAGGAACUUUCCUUUUGGGAAACUUCUCCAAGGGCAGGAAAUAUGUUUUUAAAUUUUUAUUUACAUUCUCAUUAUUUAGGUUAAGGCUAGGCACAUAAUAAAAACAUUUAUUUAAUGGUGAUUGAUUGAUUG